rnacentral:rRNA from 1 species
UGCAGUCGAACGGUAGCAGGAAGUGCUUGCACUUUGCUGACGAGUGGCGGACGGGUGAGUAAUGCUUGGGAACUUGCCUUUAGGUGGGGGAUAACAGUUGGAAACGACUGCUAAUACCGCAUAAUGUCUACGGACCAAAGGGGGCUUCGGCUCCCGCCUUGAGAGAGGCCCAAGUGAGAUUAGCUAGUUGGUGGGGUAAAGGCCUACCAAGGCAACGAUCUCUAGCUGUUCUGAGAGGAAGAUCAGCCACACUGGGACUGAGACACGGCCCAGACUCCUACGGGAGGCAGCAGUGGGGAAUAUUGCACAAUGGGGGAAACCCUGAUGCAGCCAUGCCGCGUGUGUGAAGAAGGCCUUCGGGUUGUAAAGCACUUUCAGUUGUGAGGAAAGGUUGGUAGUUAAUACCUGCCAGCUGUGACGUUAACAACAGAAGAAGCACCGGCUAACUCCGUGCCAGCAGCCGCGGUAAUACGGAGGGUGCGAGCGUUAAUCGGAAUUACUGGGCGUAAAGCGCACGCAGGCGGCUUGUUAAGCUAGAGGUGAAAGCCCCGCGCUCAACGUGGGAACUGCCUUUAGAACUGGCAGGCUAGAGUCUUGGAGAGGGGAGUGGAAUUCCAGGUGUAGCGGUGAAAUGCGUAGAUAUCUGGAGGAACAUCAGUGGCGAAGGCGGCUCCCUGGCCAAAGACUGACGCUCAUGUGCGAAAGUGUGGGUAGCGAACAGGAUUAGAUACCCUGGUAGUCCACACCGUAAACGCUGUCUACUAGCUGUUUGUGUAUUUAAUACGUGAGUA